rnacentral:tRNA from 1 species
GGCUUCAUAGCUCAGUUGGUUAGAACGUCGCACCGGUCGCGAUGUCACGGGUUCAAACCCCGUUGAAGUCC